rnacentral:tRNA from 1 species
GGGCCCGUCGUCUAGUGGCUAGUACAGGGUUAACCUGUAGCUUCGAUGCCACCCUGACACGGUGGUGGUCCCGGGUUCAAAUCCCGGCGGGCCCA